rnacentral:tRNA from 2 species
UGGGGCGUAGCCAAGUGGCAAAGGCACCGGGUUUUGAUCCCGGCAUUCGUAGGUUCGAGUCCUACCGCCCCAGCCA